GAGACUGGGAUAACUUCGGGAAACCGGAGCUAAUACCGGAUAACAUUUGGAACCGCAUGGUUCUAAAGUGAAAGAUGGUUUUGCUAUCACUUAUAGAUGGACCCGCGCCGUAUUAGCUAGUUGGUAAGGUAACGGCUUACCAAGGCAACGAUACGUAGCCGACCUGAGAGGGUGAUCGGCCACACUGGAACUGAGACACGGUCCAGACUCCUACGGGAGGCAGCAGUAGGGAAUCUUCCGCAAUGGGCGAAAGCCUGACGGAGCAACGCCGCGUGAGUGAUGAAGGGUUUCGGCUCGUAAAACUCUGUUAUUAGGGAAGAACAAAUGUGUAAGUAACUGUGCACAUCUUGACGGUACCUAAUCAGAAAGCCACGGCUAACUACGUGCCAGCAGCCGCGGUAAUACGUAGGUGGCAAGCGUUAUCCGGAAUUAUUGGGCGUAAAGCGCGCGUAGGCGGUUUCUUAAGUCUGAUGUGAAAGCCCACGGCUCAACCGUGGAGGGUCAUUGGAAACUGGGAAACUUGAGUGCAGAAGAGGAAAGUGGAAUUCCAUGUGUAGCGGGUGAAAUGCGCAGAGAUAUGGAGGAACACCAGUGGCGAAGGCGACUUUCUGGUCUGUAACUGACGCUGAUGUGC
rnacentral:rRNA from 1 species